rnacentral:rRNA from 1 species
AACGUAGGUGGCAAGCGUUAUCCGGAAUUACUGGGCGUAAAGGGUGUGCAGGCGGGAGUGCAAGUGGUGUAUGAAAACGUCCGGCUUAACCGGGCGCUGUUAUGCCAGACUGCAGUUCUAGAGGACGAGAGAGGGGGGUGGAAUUCCGGGUGUAGUGGGUGAAAUGCGUAGAGAUCCGGAGGAACCCCAGAGGCGAAGGCGGCCCCCUGGCUCGUACCUGACGCUCAGCCACGAAAGCAUGGGGAGCGAACGGG